GAGAAGAUAGAAGGGGUGGUUCCACCCCAAUUAGGUUUGCCCUUUGGCCUGCUCCCACCUAUAUAUAUGUAGGGAUAUAACCCGCUUGAGACACACCAAAUCGUAAGGGGGUCUGCUCCACAUAGCUAAGCUCUAAUUCUGAUCUAGUUUGUCUAAAAUUGUAGACUCCAAAUUAGACGAUCUCUAAUCCCGCUGUUUGGUCUAAUAAGAUUAAACUCCUAAUUGGACGGAAAGGCGUCGCUAGGCUUUAUCUCUAAUUUUUUCGGAGCCCUUCUUUCUGGACGUCCGAGUGCUGCCAGAUUACUGCUACGGAACAUGAUAUCUCGGAGGGAUUGUCAGCUUGAACUCUAGAUGAGUGAAUCGUCUCGGAGAAAUUCUCACGAAUGGGAGGUAUAACCUAACUGCAGCAAUUUCCGCACUACGCCAACUUAUUUUGCUUCCACUGCUCUAUUAGUUGGUGAGUUUGAUCAUUACUUGCCAUCUGCAUAGUGUUCCUGCAUGUGAUCGUGUAUCAUUUUUUUCAUAACAUGUGUCUCGUACAGUGACAUUACGAGCAAAUAUAUGAGUACACGCAGGUAUAAUUAGUGCAUAUGAUGAUUUGUAGCAUUACAUGUAUCAUGUAUGUGCGGAGUGAUUAGACAGCUCAUGUUGUAACUCUUUAAUUGUGAAGUUUUUAUCCCGGCGGUAUGUAGGACUUCUGUUACAAAGAUCAGGCUUUGUGAAGUUGUUUUAUGCUGCCCCCGAGUAUGCUGAUCGCGGAUUGAAGUUAUGCUUUGGAUUCUUCAAGUUCGAUCAUAGUUGAUUUUUUUUACGAUGAGGAAAUCUUGUAGAUUUUAAUCUACGCAGGGUCAUGCCUAACAACGAAGUUUAAUAUGGGACUCAAGAUUUUUAAUUAAGUCCCAUGUUUCAUACUCCCAACAUGUUAAAGCAACAACAUGAAGUGGCAUACUUAACGGUUUCAAAGGAAAAAAUUGCCAACAUAUCAGAUAUUUUCUUGGCCGUAAUUAAUUUAAAAAUACUUCAUCCUUUUUGGUUUAUAGGGCUCAUUUUUAAAAUUUCAGAUUUCCAUUAUACUAGGCUCAUUUUGAGUCUAGUUAAGUUAAGGUGCUUUGAGUCUCACACCAUAUUUAAUUCAUAGAGAUAAGGGAAGGCAAAUUAGUGGUCAUGCAUGCAUCUUUUUCUACAUGCAUCAUGCAAGUCCAAUGAAAGGGAGGAUGCUACAUUUAUUGCCUUGAAAAUUAAAUAUGUGAAAAAAAUUUCAUUGGCUAGUUAGAACCAGUGUCAUCCACUCACAAUUCACCUUGGUUGAUGAGAUUUCAGAUUUAAGCCCUAUAAACCGAAAAGGAGGGAGUAUCAGAUAUUUUCUUGCUGGCUAAGGAAAGGAAACAUAUCUGUCACUGCACUAACGACGUAGAGGAAUUUGUAGUGGGUAUAUACCUGGCGGUUGCUCCACUGAACCAAAUUAAUUAGCGAGAAGAGGCAAAGGGUUGGCGAAAGAUCGUCGAAGCUAGCUGACAUAAGCAUCACUAUGGCUAGCUAGUGCACGCCAUUUUACAUAUAUGGAUCGUUCUAGUGAGAAAGCUCGAGACAUGACAGGUUUUGAAUUAACAAAAUUGGAAACAACACGGAAAGAUACAAAUGUUCUGAAAAACAGCUCACAAAGCUUCACACACACACACACACACAGUAGCUGGAAAACUAGAUGCACUGAAUGAGUUAGCUGGGCGGUGCUAUGUACAGUUGCGAUCACACACAAGAACUUGUCGGUCAAAAUCAUGACGCGUGGGCUCCGAAGAAGUCACGGCCUGUCGACAAGUUUUGUGGCAAUAGUUUCGGCUACGUCGAUGUAGCUGAGUUUGCUUUCAGCAACUUGCUUCUAUUGAGGAGCGAUCUAGCCGGGUUUUUCCAAACACAGACGCAGACGCUCUACGAGUUGAACCCGCGUGACAUUGAUAGGAAAGAUAGGUGCCCGCAAAAUAAUAUCUACAUUGCUCUCGACCUUUGCUAGCAGUUGAAGCCGUUGAUGUCGAGAGCUCAGAUGUGUACAUGUAUAUAGUACGGUAUUCAUGUACACAAUAUAUAUACACAAAUAGCCGGAGUAGAAAUUAUGCAUAUAGAAAACUCUAAAGAAAGAAAAAAAAAGACCCAUGUGGGUAUGGGUUAUAUAAUCUCGUAUUUGUACCUGCUCUGUCCGAUAGGUUUCAUAUUUUUUUAUUUAUAUAUCAAUGGAUAAAUUUUUGUUUCAUAUCUUUAUUUUAAUAAGGUUUUUAUCUGCAGGAUACGUGUGUAGUGUGUACCCAUUACUAUCCCUAGGUGAGGUUGGAGGAACACUCUGGCUCUAUUUUUCGGAAGGGAAGGUGCAUAGUGCGUGGCAGAAAUUUGGAUUUCAUGUGCGCAUUUAACGUCAAAUUUUUCGCCUCGUCAGUUGUACGAGGAAGGUUAUGGACCACGGAUCACCUCGCUCCACAGUAAUUGUUGUAAGUUGUGCGAUGAACUACCUUAUGGCCGUGACCAUAUGCUGCUGGGAUCAGGGAUGUCCUUUCUAGAGCCUAGAGGGAGGUGUAGUUCUUGCUGUUGCUGCCUCUACGGCCACAUCGAUUCAUGCCUAUGACCCAAAUACAGCUCCAUGAAAGGCGGCUACGGGUGACCACAGUGGUGCCAUGCAAGCGGACGAAAAUAGUAAAUUUGGUCAUCACAGUUGGCCCUUCACUAGUAGAAAAAGGACAUUUUAUCCUAGUUCGUAAGGGCCUUCUGUCCAGGUUUUAGAACCGGGACAAAAAUGUCGUUACUAAUGUCCUUGGUCUUUAGUCCCGGUUCUUACAUGAACCGGGAUAGAUGGGCCUCCACGUGGCCGCUGCGACCAGGCCAGGCAGGGGGCCUUUAGUCCCGGUUGGUGACACCAGCCGGGACUAAAAGGCAUCCACGCGUCAACACCUGGCUGGAGCUGAGGUUUUUUUUUGAAAGGGCCUGGUUUAGGGGUUAAUUUAGGUUGUUAUUAGCUAGCUAAUAGAGAAAAGUGUCCUCUCUUAUAUGUCUCUGUGCUUGGUUUACCAACGCUACUGCUAUGCCUAACGUUAACACGGCCUAGAUUGAAGUGAAG
rnacentral:lncRNA from 1 species